GCAAGACCCAACUUCAUAGUUCGUAUAACCUCGAUAAAUUCGGUUCGGGGGCUCUACUGGGAACCUAAAUCCUAACUACGAACACAAUAUAUGCUCAU
rnacentral:ncRNA from 2 species